GACGAACGCUGGCGGCGUGCCUAAUACAUGCAAGUAGAACGCUGAAGGAGGAGCUUGCUCUUCUGGAUGAGUUGCGAACGGGUGAGUAACGCGUAGGUAACCUGCCUGGUAGCGGGGGAUAACUAUUGGAAACGAUAGCUAAUACCGCAUAACAGUAGAUGUUGCAUGACAUUUGCUUAAAAGGUGCAAUUGCAUCACUACCAGAUGGACCUGCGUUGUAUUAGCUAGUUGGUGGGGUAACGGCUCACCAAGGCGACGAUACAUAGCCGACCUGAGAGGGUGAUCGGCCACACUGGGACUGAGACACGGCCCAGACUCCUACGGGAGGCAGCAGUAGGGAAUCUUCGGCAAUGGACGGAAGUCUGACCGAGCAACGCCGCGUGAGUGAAGAAGGUUUUCGGAUCGGAAAGCUCUGUUGUAAGAGAAGAACGAGUGUGAGAGUGGAAAGUUCACACUGUGACGGUAUCUUACCAGAAAGGGACGGCUAACUACGUG
rnacentral:rRNA from 1 species